UACGUAGGGUGCAAGCGUUGUCCGGAUUUAUUGGGCUUAAAGGGUGCGUAGGCGGCUUUGUAAGUCAGUGGUGAAAUACGGUAGCUCAACCAUCGAGGUGCCAUUGAUACUGCGGAGCUUGAGUACAGAUGAGGUAGGCGGAAUUGACGGUGUAGCGGUGAAAUGCUUAGAUAUCGUCAAGAACACCUAUAGCGAAGGCAGCUUACUAGGCUGUAACUGACGCUGAGGCACGAAAGUGUGGUGAUCAAACAGG
rnacentral:rRNA from 1 species